GACGAACGCUGGCGGCGUGCUUAACACAUGCAAGUCGAACGGAAAGGCCCUGCUUUUGUGGGGUGCUCGAGUGGCGAACGGGUGAGUAACACGUGAGUAACCUGCCCUUGACUUUGGGAUAACUUCAGGAAACUGGGGCUAAUACCGGAUAGGAGCUCCUGCUGCAUGGUGGGGGUUGGAAAGUUUCGGCGGUUGGGGAUGGACUCGCGGCUUAUCAGCUUGUUGGUGGGGUAGUGGCUUACCAAGGCUUUGACGGGUAGCCGGCCUGAGAGGGUGACCGGCCACCUUGGGACUGCGAUACGGCCCAGACUCCUACGGGCGGCAGCAGUGGGGAAUAUUGCACAAUGGGCGGACGCCUGAUGCAGCAACGCCGCGUGCGGGAUGCCGGCCUUCGGGUUGUAAACCGCUUUCGCCUGUGACGAAGCGUGAGUGACGGUAAUGGGUAAAGAAGCACCGGCUAACUACGUG
rnacentral:rRNA from 1 species